rnacentral:rRNA from 1 species
UACAGAGGUCCCAAGCGUUGUUCGGAUUCAUUGGGCGUAAAGGGUGCGUAGGCGGCGCGGUAAGUCGGGUGUGAAAUCUCGGAGCUUAACUCCGAAACUGCAUUCGAUACUGCCGUGCUUGAGGACUGGAGAGGAGACUGGAAUUUACGGUGUAGCGGUGAAAUGCGUAGAUAUCGUGAGGAAGACCAGUGGCGAAGGCGGAUCUCUGGACAGUUCCUGACGCUGAGGCGCGAAGGCCAGGGGAGCAAACGGG